AUUGUAUACAGCUUAUAUUAACUCCAAAGUUUCCAGACAAACUGUGAUCCAAACUGUGAAUUUAUAUUGCUCAAUCCAUAACUUCCGUCACAGGUAGCAAAAUUUAUAAGACUGGGUUACAUGCUUUGACUGACACAAAACCUCAAUUAUGGAUGUGUUGCAUUGAUUUAUUUUUUGGAACAUAAUUACAUUACAGAUCUUUAGGAAAUGUGUUGUUUAAGAAUCCAAAGAGGUGUGUUGCAAAAUUGAUGGAAAUAUUUUUUCUUAAAAACGCAGAAUAACAACUUGAGUGAAGGGGUUUGAAGCAGAGGCGUUGAUAGGAUCACAAUAGUUUCGGGGCUUAGGUACCCUAUACGGAAGCGCAGGAAAUAGUUGAACGGGGAAGCGGAAAAGAGGACAACAUCGGUACUGGUGCUCCACUGAGUGUUGAGGCCAAUGUGGUUCAAUUGGUAGGGCUUGCAACUCCUGGGUUGUGGGUUUGACUCCCACGGGUCUGUUUGAAAAUAUACUCACUACUGUAAAUCGCUCUGGGUAAGAACGUCUUGCUAAAGGAUUUAAAUAUAAUUUAAAUCAACGUUUUUCGGUCACACAGAUCAGGAGGUUGUUGCUGAUGUAGCGACCUGGUUUAGUUACACGAAACAUACAUAAAUGGGGAAUAAUAAGGAACGUUGAAUGUCAAUGAUACAAAUGAGAAUGCAUACGUACAUCAACAAUAUAUAAUGCCGGGAAUACAGAAUGUAUAACCGUAGUGAGUAAACAAUAUAUAAACUGUAUUUAAAGUGAUAAGGGCUCUUAUGUCAUGGUUGUGUGUGUGUCAGAUUAGCGCACGCGGAUGUGUGGAUGACACAACAUUCCGAAGAGUCGUAUGAAUGCGGAGCGUGCUGUUACAGUAGAACAAUUACAAUAUAGGACAUGCGCGGAUUUUCCGUGGUCAUUUAUUUCCUCACCAAGAUCCAAUACAGACCUAAUCCGGCGGCAAGAUAUUUUUGCUACAAAACAAUUUUCAUAGAACAUAAGGUAACUGUAAACGGACCUUUUGAAAAACUUGUUUCAAGGUGAAGAUAUCCAGAGACUCCGUUUUCAGUGUUUACAGGGAAAACUGAGAUUUUGUCGGGUUAUGUCGGGGUGCCUCUCUUAUCUCGGGUUUUACUUACUCUCCCACGGUGUUGAGGAACAGAGGCAAAGUAGUGGUAUUCCGAUGGUCUUGCAUGGUGUGGCCCCCUUAUGCUGACAAAGCCCGGAUUUUAAACACAUUGUUCUGAAGAUCUCCCCAAAACCAGCCAAAGGAUGGAAGCAAUACCCAGCACGAAGUACUCUUUGUAAUAUUCUGUGUACAGCCGUAUUUAUUUUUCGAAUGUAUGUAUUUAUAAUACUACACAUACAUAAUUAUUUUUAUUACCUUCAUUAACUGUGCAUGGUCCUUGUAAUCUGUUAGAGAAUAUUUUCACAAGAUUGCAGAGUGGUGGGAGAAGUCAUGUGUGACAUCAGACAUCAAAGCUGACUAGAAGCAAGAAUGCCAAAGAGGCCGACAACAUAUCAAGUCACUAGCCAUCCAAGUUCCAGACCAGAUCGCAGGCCAGACCAGACCAGCAUCUGAAAGGAAUGAACUUAAAUAGACAUGCGAGUUGGAGGCCAGGAGUGGAGGUCCAACCUACCACUUCAAGUCAAAUGGAAGAAAGUAACACUCUUGGAACUCCAAGACCUUGUUUUCAGACCUGUGAGCAACGUGUCCCACCAAACUCUACAGACCUCAAAGUUGUCCUUAACCAGGGACAGAAUUUUAAGCAAACCAUGUGGUGUGUGUUCGAGACGGUCUUCACACCAGACUUGGCAACCCAAACCAACUGAACUGGUGCGGGAGGGGGCAGAAGACUGUCAUCUGGUCAAUGCCACUGAAGGAUGCUGUUAUGUGUUCUGUUCUUAAAAACCCAAGUUUGCCAGUAAUUACUGAGGUCGCGGUUGAAAGGGCGGAGACGGCUGGAGGGAAAUACCUACUGAAGAAGAGGACGAUUAAUUUGUAGCUUAUAUAAUGCACAAUUGUUUGGUGUUUUUGUUUAGGCUUCUUUAAUUUUUUCUCUGUUUGUUAAAUUGUAUAUCUUGUAAAUAAAGUUCAUACCUUA